GACGAACGCUGGCGGCGUGCCUAAUACAUGCAAGUAGGACGCAGUUGCGAACGGGUGAGUAACGCGUAGGUAACUACCUAUUAGAGGGGGAUAACUAUUGGAAACGAUAGCUAAUACCGCAUACUAGUAGAUGGACCUGCGUUGUAUUAGCUAGUAGGUAGGGUAAUGGCCUACCUAGGCAACGAUACAUAGCCGACCUGGUGGGGUGAACGGCCACACUGGGACUGAGAAACGGGCCAGAACCCCACGGGGAGCAGCCGUAGGGGAACUUCGGCAAAUGGGGGAAACCUGACCGAGCAAAGGCGCGGUAGUGAAGGAGGGUUUUGGGUCGUAAAGCUCUGUUGUUAAGGAAGCGGUACUUAACCAGAAAGGGACGGCUAACUUCGUGCCAGCAGGCGCGGUAAUUC
rnacentral:rRNA from 1 species